AGAUGGAUUCGUGCUCGAAAGAGAGCCAUAACACAGGUGCUGCAUGGCUGUCGUCAGCUCGUGUCGUGAGAUGUUGGGUUAAGUCCCGCAACGAGCGCAACCCUUGUCUUUAGUUGCCAUCAUUAAGUUGGGCACUCUAAAGAGACUGCCGAUGACAAAUCGGAGGAAGGUGGGGAUGACGUCAAAUCAUCAUGCCCUUUAUGUCCUGGGCUACACACGUGCUACAAUGGUCGGUACAACGAGAAGCAAGCCAGCGAUGGCAAGCAAAUCUCUAAAAGCCGAUCCCAGUUCGGAUUGCAGGCUGCAACUCGCCUGCAUGAAGUCGGAGUUGCUAGUAAUCGCGGAUCAGAAUGCCGCGGUGAAUGCGUUCCCGGGUCUU
rnacentral:rRNA from 2 species